UUCGGAUAACGGCACACCUGGAUUUAACGUUUUUUGUGUUCAUUCAGAGAUAUAACUCGGCUGCUGCAGUCCCAGGAAUACUAAGAACAUGUGUCAUGCAAGGACUGGCUGCUGUGAUACAACAACUAGAGGAGCCUAUUAAUGACAGAGAGGAACCCUCAGUGAUAAGUCAUGCAAGGACUGGCUGCUGUGAUACAACAACUAGAGGAGCCUAUUAAUGACAGGGAGGAACCCUCAGUGAUAAGUCAUGCAAGGACUGGCUGCUGUGAUACAACAACUAGAGGAGCCUAUUAAUGACAGGGAGGAACCCUCAGUGAUAAGUCAUGCAAGGACUGGCUGCUGUGAUACAACAACGAGAGGAGCCUAUUAAUGACAGGGAGGAACCCUCAGUGAUAAGUCAUGCAAGGACUGGCUGCUGUGAUUCAACAACUAGAGCAGCCUAUUAAUGACAGGGAGGAACCCUCAGUGAUAGUAAGUUUGCAGUGAAUGAGAUGCAGUUUUCAGCCUCAGUCAAACUAAGACUAUACUUUCAGGGAUCAUUUCUAUAGUUUCUGACUUGAGAAAUGUGUUUCUAAAGUGUCUG